rnacentral:rRNA from 1 species
GAUGAACGCUGGCGGCGUGCCUAAUACAUGCAAGUCGAGCGAACAGACGAGGAGCUUGCUCCUCUGACGUUAGCGGCGGACGGGUGAGUAACACGUGGAUAACCUACCUAUAAGACUGGGAUAACUUCGGGAAACCGGAGCUAAUACCGGAUAAUAUAUUGAACCGCAUGGUUCAAUAGUGAAAGACGGUUUUGCUGUCACUUAUAGAUGGAUCCGCGCCGCAUUAGCUAGUUGGUAAGGUAACGGCUUACCAAGGCGACGAUGCGUAGCCGACCUGAGAGGGUGAUCGGCCACACUGGAACUGAGACACGGUCCAGACUCCUACGGGAGGCAGCAGUAGGGAAUCUUCCGCAAAGGGCGAAAGCCUGACGGAGCAACGCCGCGUGAGUGAUGGAGGUCUUCGGAUCGUAAAACCCUGUUAUUAGGGAAGAACAAAUGUGUAAGUAACUAUGCACGUCUUGACGGUACCUAAUCAGAAAGCCACGGCUAACUACGUG